rnacentral:lncRNA from 1 species
UUCCCUCCACCUCACCAACGUCCUUGGACUCAGUGCUAACCUUACACUACGGGAACUUUCCUGUCCUGUAGUACGCACUUACCUUAUCAAACAUGAAGACCUUAUUGAUCUGGCCUCGGAAGACCUUCAAGACAGAAGUGAUGUGUACACAGGCAGCUUGGAUGGCUGAGCCUAUGACUUCUACUUUGUCUUGCUCUUUAAACAUCAAGUUCACAAACACAAUUGUCACAGGGCGAAGCUCAGAUAAAUAGCCCCGCAGCUGCUUGUCAUCGAUCUGUAAGGGAGAGGGCAGCUUUCUGCAGUGUGUGCCCUGGGCAGCAGAACCCUUUUAGCACCACUCUAGCCUGUACCCAAAGUCCAUACUGGGAAGAAAGCCUUCAGCAGCAACUGAAGCUAUCUCAGUGUGAGGCACAAGUCACAGAGCCAACCCACAGGAAAAUGAGAAGAUGGUUAGAACCCAUUAUCCAAAUCUCUUCCAUUGAAGCCAACCAAGCAAACACACACACACACACACACACACACACACACUACUGGUCAAUGAAGAUUUAUGUGGUUGCUAAUUUGGCCACUAUUGCUACGUUACCUGACAACCAAAUCCCUAAUGCCGACAUGCGUUCACAUUAAGUUCUACUACUGCCUCUGAUUUCUUAUUUUUAUAGUUGGGUAGAAAAAUAACCUUUUACAUAACUUCACCUUGUACUUUCAGAUCCUGGUGCCUUCUGGAAUAUUUUUAGAUUCUAUCCCACUAUUUUCAGACAGAAGUUCAAAACCUAGCAUUAGUGUUCCCAUUUUACAAAUUAAAGAGCAAACACGUGGAGAAGUAACACGAUUUCCCCUAAGGUUAUGUAAACAGAAAGUAGCAAAUUAAAACCCAACUCUGGAUUCCAGCAUCCUGUGUAAUACAUGACCUCUUUUGGGUGGCGUGCAUUGCUUUAUUGUUUGAUUUAGGUUCCUCUUCUAUAUGCCCACUUUGAGAAAAAAGAAUUCCCAAAUCAUCACUGCCAGUCAUCCAUCUUGAAUUAGGUUAAAUGGAGUACUUUGCAAAUCAAUGGGGGAUAGUCAUUCUACUUUCUGUCCAAAUCACACAAAGGUAUCAGUUUCUCUGCUGGCAAUGUGAAACAUGUCUUACAGAAGAAACAGAAAGUGGUCCAGGGAAUUAAGUCACGGUGCUUUCUAACUGUCUAGGCUAACCACAGGAUUAAGUUCACUUAACUGUAUUCUUUUCAUAAAAGAUGAUGUGAUUUAUAUCUAACCACUGUAAUGAUUUUUUUCAAAUACAUUUACAGGUAAUUUUUAACAAAAAAUUAUCCCAUUAAACCACAUGUUCUCAGUUUGGUUGAGAAAAAAAGGACCGCAGCAUCUCUGAGCACGCAUGGCCUUUAAGUGCUAGGAUAUGGCUCGGUGAGGUCUUCGAAGCUCUGUUCUCCCCCUUCUUUCCAUUCCCCACCCCAGACAUACCUAUUUAACAGUAUUCAUUAUUUCUACCCACAAUUCCACACCAACUCAAGAGUUUAUCAUACACCCCCUCCUUGUAGGCAAUGAUCUCAGCAGUAGCUAAUGGGGGUCUCUCUAUUGAGGUAGGGGAGGAUGUAGGAGACUUUCUCUUGGACAACCAUGGGCACUAGUAGUGAACAUCAGUGAAGUACAUUUAGAGGCAGUCUCAUAUGCUUGCACUUGAGAGUUAUUGCCCUUUUAAAUGACUAUUAAAAACAGGAUAAUAAUUCCAGCAACUCAAAAGGAUCACAAGUCGUCUAAUGCCUUCCUAGACUGAAGACUGAGUUCAAAGAUACCCUGGGCAACUCAGUGAUAGCC